rnacentral:rRNA from 1 species
AGCUGAGUUUGAUCCUGGCUCAGGAUGAACGCUAGCGGCAGGCCUAAUACAUGCAAGUCGAACGGGUGCAGCAAUGCACUAGUGGCGCACGGGUGCGUAACGCGUAACCAACCUGCCCGAAUCUGGGGGAUAGCCCGCCGAAAGGCGGAUUAAUACCGCAUAAGACAAGGGGGCGGCAUCGUCUCUUUGUUAAAGAUUUAUUGGAUUCGGAUGGGGUUGCGUGACAUUAGCUAGUUGGCGGGGUAACAGCCCACCAAGGCGAAGAUGGAUAGCUGGUCUGAGAGGACGAUCAGCCACACUGGGGACUGAGACACGGCCCAGACUCCGUACGGGGAGGCAGCAGUGGGGAAUAUUGCGCAAGUGGGGGGAAACCCUGACGCAGCAACGCCGCGUGAGUGACGAAGGCCUU